GCCAGCAGCCGCGGGAACACGGCAGCUCUAGUGGUAACAAUUUUAUUGGGCCUAAAGCGUCCGUAGCCGGUUUAAUAAGUCUCUGGUGAAAUCCUGUAGCUUAACUGUGGGAAUUGCUGGAGAUACUAUUAGACUUGAGACCGGGAGAGGUUAGAGGUACUCCCAGGGUAGAGGUGAAAUUCUGUAAUCCUGGGAGGACCGCCUGUUGCGAAGGCGUCUAACUGGAACGGUUCUGACGGUGAGGGACGAAAGUUAGGGGCGCGAACCGGAUUAGAUACCCGGGUAGUCCGUAAACUGUAAACGAUGCGGACUUGGUGUUGGGUGGCUUUGAGCUGCUCCAGUGCCGAAGGGAAGCUGUUAAGUCCGCCGCCUGGGAAGUACGGUCGCAAGACUGAAACUUAAGGAAUUGGCGGGGGAGCACCACAACGCGUGGAGCCUGCCGGUUUAAUUGGAUUCAACGCCGGACAUCUCACCAGAGGCGACAGCUGUAUGAUAGCCAGGUUGAUGACUUUGCUUGACUAGCUGAGUAGUGGUGCAUGG
rnacentral:rRNA from 1 species